UACGAAGGGUGCAAACGUUGCUCUGGAAUUAUUGGGCGUAAAGAGCUCGUAGGCGGCUUGUUGCGUCGUUCGUGAAAUCCCGUGGCUCAACUGCGGGCUUGCGGACGAUAACGGGCAGGCGUAGAAUUCGGUAGGGGAGACUGGAAUUCCGUGGUGUAGCGGUGAAAUGCGCAGAUAUCUGGAGGAAUACCGGUGGCGAAGGCGGCAUCCUGGAGCCGAGAUUGACACUGAUGAGGCGAAAGCGAUGGGGAGGCAAACA
rnacentral:rRNA from 1 species